ensembl:rRNA 5S_rRNA 5S ribosomal RNA
AUCUACGGCCAUACCACCCUGAAAAUGCACGAUCUUGUCUGAUCUCAGGAGCUAGGCAGGGUUGGGCUCGAUUAGUACUUGAAUGGGAUACUGCCUUGGAAUCCCAGGUGCUGUAGGCU